rnacentral:rRNA from 1 species
AUGGCCUUACCACAUUGAAAACACCGUUUCUCGUCCGAUCACCGAAGUUAAGCAAUGUCAGAGGCCCGGUCAGUACUUGGGAGGGUGACCACUUUGGAACACCGGUGCAGUAGGUU